AGAGUUUGAUCAUGGCUCAGAUUGAACGUUGGCGGCAGGCCUAAUACAUGCAAGUCGAGCGGAAACAGAGGGAGCUUGCUCCCAGAUGUCGAGCGGCGGACGGGUGAGUAACGCGUAGGAAUCUACCCAGUAGCGGGGGAUAGCCAGUGGAAACGCUGAUUAAUACCGCAUACGCCAAGGGGGGGAUCUUUUCGGAGACCUCUCACUAUUGGAUGAGCCUGCGUUAGAUUAGCUAGUUGGUGAGGUAAAGGCUCACCAAGGCGACGAUCUAUAGCUGUUCUGAGAGGAAGAUCAGCCACACUGGGACUGAGACACGGCCCAGACUCCUACGGGAGGCAGCAGUAGGGAAUAUUGCACAAUGGGCGCAAGCCUGAUGCAGCCAUGCCGCGUGUGUGAAGAAGGCCUUAGGGUUGUAAAGCACUUUCAGUAGUGAGGAAAGCAUAAUGGUUAAUACCCAUUAUGUGUGACGUUAGCAACAGAAGAAGCACCGGCUAACUCCGUGCCAGCAGCCGCGGUAAUACGGAGGGUGCGAGCGUUAAUCGGAAUUACUGGGCGUAAAGCGCACGCAGGCGGUUUGUUAAGCUAGAUGUGAAAGCCCCGGGCUCAACCUGGGAAUAGCAUUUAGAACUGGCAGGCUAGAGUCUUGGAGAGGGGAGUGGAAUUCCAGGUGUAGCGGUGAAAUGCGUAGAUAUCUGGAGGAACAUCAGUGGCGAAGGCGACUCCCUGGCCAAAGACUGACGCUCAUGUGCGAAAGUGUGGGUAGCGAACAGGAUUAGAUACCCUGGUAGUCCACACCGUAAACGAUGUCUACUAGCUGUUUGUGGAUUUAAUCCGUGAGUAGCGAAGCUAACGCGAUAAGUAGACCGCCUGGGGAGUACGGCCGCAAGGUUAAAACUCAAAUGAAUUGACGGGGGCCCGCACAAGCGGUGGAGCAUGUGGUUUAAUUCGAUGCAACGCGAAGAACCUUACCAGGGCUUGACAUCUAGAGAACCUUUCCGAAAGGAGAGGGUGCCUUCGGGAACUCUAAGACAGGUGGUGCAUGGCUGUCGUCAGCUCGUGUCGUGAGAUGUUGGGUUAAGUCCCGCAACGAGCGCAACCCUCGGGUUUAGUUGCCAUCAUUAAGUUGGGCACUCUAGACCGACUGCCGGUGACAAACCGGAGGAAGGUGGGGACGACGUCAAGUCAUCAUGCCCCUUACGUCCUGGGCUACACACGUCCUACAAUGGCAAGUACAGAGGGCAGCGAAGCAGCAAUGUGAAGCGAAUCCCAGAAAGCUUGCCUCAGUUCGGAUUGUAGGCUGCAACUCGCCUACAUGAAGUCGGAAUCGCUAGUAAACGCAGAUCAGCAUGCUGCGUUGAAUACGUUCCCGGGCCUUGUACACACCGCCCGU
rnacentral:rRNA from 1 species